rnacentral:miRNA from 1 species
AUGUAACCUAGUCACACGUAUU